rnacentral:tRNA from 1 species
UUGCAGUGGUUCCCCUUAGUA